rnacentral:misc_RNA from 1 species
AUCAGUAGUAAUUAUUGCAUGCUUUGACGACUGACUCAUCGAUUUCAUUCAAUGUGGGGUUCCGCUGAGAAUCUGUCGGUGCGAUCAACCUCAUUCCGGGAGGAUCGUGAUGAUGAUGAGGAGGCGUUACGGUGGGCUGCGUUGGAACGGUUACCUACCUACACUCGUGUACGUAGAGGAAUUUUCAGGAAUAUUGUUGGUGAAUCAUGGGAGGUCAAUGUUGAUAAUCUUCAACAUGAUGAACGGAAAGUUGUGUUGGAUCGUUUGUUCAAAUCUGUUGAUGAUAAUUGGGAUAACUUGUUUAAUCGCAUUAGGCUUCGUUUCGAUAGAGUUGAUUUGGAAUUCCCAAAAAUUGAAGUAAGGUUUCAGCAUUUAGCUGUUGAAGCUUAUGUGCAACUUGGCAGUCGAG